CAAGGUUAAAACUCAAAUGAAUUGACGGGGGCCCGCACAAGCGGUGGAGCAUGUGGUUUAAUUCGAUGCAACGCGAAGAACCUUACCUGGCCUUGACAUCCAGAGAACUUAGCAGAGAUGCUUUGGUGCCUUCGGGAACUCUGAGACAGGUGCUGCAUGGCUGUCGUCAGCUCGUGUUGUGAAAUGUUGGGUUAAGUCCCGCAACGAGCGCAACCCUUAUCCUUUGUUGCCAGCGGGUGAUGCCGGGAACUCAAAGGAGACUGCCGGUGAUAAACCGGAGGAAGGUGGGGAUGACGUCAAGUCAUCAUGGCCCUUACGGCCAGGGCUACACACGUGCUACAAUGGCGCAUACAAAGAGAAGCGACCUCGCGAGAGCAAGCGGACCUCAUAAAGUGCGUCGUAGUCCGGAUCGGAGUCUGCAACUCGACUCCGUGAAGUCGGAAUCG
rnacentral:rRNA from 1 species